UGCGUAGGUGGCAAGGUAAGUCGGAUGUGAAAUCUCCGAGCUCAACUCGGAAAUGGCAUUGGAAACUGCUUUGCUCGAGGGUUGGAGGGGGGACUGGAAUACUUGGUGUAGCAGUGAAAUGCGUAGAUAUCAAGUGGGACACCAGUGGCGAAGGCGAGUCCCUGGACAACUCCUGACACUGAGGCACGAAAGCUAGGGGAGCAAACAGGAUUAGAUACCCUGGUAGUCCUAGCCGUAAACGGUGCACGUUUGCUGUAAAAGGAAUCGACCCCUUUUGUGGCGUAGCCAACGCGUUAAACGUGCCGCCUGGGAAGUACGGUCGCAAGAUUAAA
rnacentral:rRNA from 1 species